ensembl:lncRNA
CUCCCUUUUAACAGGAAGAAACCUCCGGCAGAACCAGGCUCAGGGAGGGGCGGGGCCAUCUGCUGCGACCGGUUGGGGUUAGUGCCGUUACCAUGGCGAGGGCUGGGCGCCCUGCAUCUGAGAGCUACCAGCCAGCUUGCUUUUCUGUCAGUCAGUCGCUCUCUUACUCCAGUGGAGCUCCAAAGGUGGAGGAUGAAGAUGAUCAGGCACCGAUUUUCUCCCUCUCUAAGAGCUCCAUGGAUGUUUUAAUGGCUGCAAGUCCGCCACACAAGCGUGAUCCAUCGUGGACCAGACUGGACCUGAGGCGCAGCUCAAGCACAAACACCCACUAUGAGCAGAACUCCGUGACACUGCAGCCGCUGCACGCUUACAUGUGGCAACAUGUCAACACCACCAACAGCCACCAGUUAGCAUCCACAACCAAUAAUGUUAACAUCAAUAGCUCUCCUGCUCUCAGCGAGCAUUGGGUUUCCAACAUGCAGCGAUGGAGUGGGUGUAGUGGUAGCACACAUAGCCGCAGCAGCACUCCAGACACAGUCGUGUCACGCCCCUCCAGUCUCAUCCAUGAAGCCACUUGUUCUGCAGCACCAGAUUCUCCGAUGUCCAAACUGACCUCUCCAGAAACCACACCCUCACCGUUCAUCUCCCCGCUCAACACGCCUACUUUACCACCUGUACAGACUUCUUCUUCACCACUUCCACUGAACUCACUGCAGCAGGAAGAUUUACUAGAACUUUCACCUGCAUUCUCAUCCCCAAAGAUUGACAACUCUUCAAGCUUUCAGUCCCACUCUCCUGAAACACUCCAGCUCACCAGCACAGAAGAUGAAGGCUUCUUGGAGAAUAAUUCCCUUUCAUUUCAGUUCCCUUCCCCAAUCCUGUCCUCUGUUAGUUUAGAUGAAGCAGGAGUGUCUUCAAAUCCCGAAUGCCUUGUUGAUGACGUGAUAGAACUGCUGUCCAGCCCUACAGGAAUACUGGAGGGUGAAGAAGCAAGAAGCCCUGUGCAAAUGCUUAGCUACCUGACACCUGAUUCUCCAAAGCAGCAGUCAAAAACAGGACCAUCUGUCUGCUAUCUUGAGCUGCCGUGGCAGCCAGAGCAAAUCUGUGCAACAGGUCGAGGUUGGGGGUCACCACUUGUCUCUUCCCUGAGUGACUCACGGUUGGGUGACACUUGCAGGUGCUGCUUAAAUGCCAGAGAGGGCACUGAAAGGGCAAUGAAGGUAGAGCUGUUCAGGCAAGAAGCUCCACCAGUGUCACGGCCAGAAAUGGCAGAUGCAGCUGUGCAGACGGUCUCUCCUGUUGGCUCAUGGUGGGACCUCAAGAGGAACAUUUCCACAUCCAACAUGGGGUCCCAUUCUAUCUUGGGCUCGCCACCUGGAUCCAGACUGAACCUGAAGUCUUCAGCAGGGUCUAACUCCAAUCUAGUAUCAGCAUCUUCCAGCAUGUUCCCAGUUAGCAGUGCAGAGGAGGAGGAAAAACAAGUUGAAGACCCUGCAUUGGAAGUUACCUCUGUUUCUUCACAUGAUCUGGAGAGCAGGAGGCCGUGUCUGAAGAUUCAGGCAGAGGAUAGGGAUGAGCUAGGUAGAAGGAGGAGCAGUAUGAAGCAGGUGCAAUGGGAUGAGGAUGGUAUGACAUGGGAUGUUCAUGGGGCAUCUGUGGACCCUGAAGAGUUGAACACAGCCAUACUAAAACAUCUGGAAAGCAAGAACAGCCCAGAACCGCCAAGACGUUCCUCAAAGAAGAAGAAAGCACCUAAACCUCCUCAAAACCUUGAUAUCACUGUGUCCCCUAAGAAUGAAGGAACAGCAGAAGCAGAACAGGGUAGAGAAGAAGAGCAGGAAGGAGGGGGAAAUAAGAUAGAAAUAGAAGAAGCUUCACAGAAAAAGAGUACAGCAGAAGAUGACAAAGCAAAAGAAGAUGAGCAAGAGAUUUGUGGAGAGGAAGGCAGCCACCAUUCUAAGUCCCCCUCAUCUGGGAAUGGACACAGCCGGAAGAAGAGUGUGUUAAGGUCACUGAGGAGGCCAAGAUGGUGUGGAGCCUCCACAAAGGCAGAUGACUAAUAUAGCUGGCUAAAUUAAAUCUAUGAUAACUAAUUAAAUCCUCAGGUUGCACAAUAUUCAUAACCUUGGAUUGAAGCUGAAAGAGUUUCAGAGUUCUGUUCAGCUCUAUUCUAGACUUUCUGUCAGCAUGUUUUCUGUUAUUAGGUACAUCUUUCAACAGGUGCAACAUUAGUAAUGUUUUCCUCUCUCACUGGUAUUCCCUGUUUAGUUGAAGAUAGAUGUAACUCUGCUAAACUUUUCAUAAAAGUCAACAGUCAUCACUAAAACUUGUUCCUGUAGAUGUACAAUAAAAUAUUGGUGUCCAUUGCUGAAAUUCUUUGGUUUGUGAGUGAUUACUACAAAUGAGCAACACAAUGGACAUAAGGAUAAGAAGUGAAGGGUAAGAGUUUUCUAUGUGCAAAGACAUGCUUUUUGGGUUCAUUCGUCAUUCUAAAUUGAAUCUAAAUAUUUUUUAUGUGUCUUAUCGAAUUCACAGCCUCAGACAUCUGUGAGACCCAAGUCGAGAUAUUUUCCACACUCUCCUUCAGACAUACUCGUACUACUGGAAAAACUCUGUUGUUUAGGUCAGGGAGUUUCCUUGAUGUAGCCUUUAGCAAGGCAGUACACACGUUGUCCACUGGUUGGCAGUGAAUGCAUUAUUAUUCUCACACCGCUACAAUCUGACAUUACUUUGACUUUGUACAAGAGAAUUGGCGUGCUACCAUAAGACCAGUUAAUGUCUGAUCCACUUGGCCAUUUGUAUUUUCAAAUGCACCGCUGUGGGUAAAGUCAAAAGUACAUGUGUAAAAACAGCCUGUUAGCCCUUUGAAGGUUUCGUAACUGUCCAGGGCUCUAGCCUCACUGAGCCCUAGUGUAAUAACCAGAUCAGAAAAGAGAUUGAUGGAUGGAUUGAUGUUCCUACACACAUUGGAGUUGGGGGCCAGUCGAACUAUUGCCCAACUCUUUUUGCUUAGUUUGUUUAGUUCAAGCAAAAUAAAUACAUACAUUGACAUUUCACUGCAAAUAAUUGUUAUGUACUGGGCAGGUUGCUGGUUACCAACCACUCCGCACAUUAUGACUUUAAUAAACACAACAAAGGAAUAUACACGGUAGCUAAGUUAGCUCUCUGCACAAAUAUGUGUUUUAUGUUAUUAAGCACGAAUCCCUUAAAAAUGUACUUUUGCGCGUUUGUGUUAAAACUAUGAAUGCACGAAUGUGUUUGUAAAUGGGUUUUUUAUUUAAAAAGUGCU